rnacentral:rRNA from 1 species
GGAAUCUUCCACAAUGGGCGAAAGCCUGAUGGAGCAACGCCGCGUGUGUGAUGAAGGGUUUCGGCUCGUAAAACACUGUUGUAAGAGAAGAAUGACAUUGAGAGUAACUGUUCAAUGUGUGACGGUAUCUUACCAGAAAGGAACGGCUAAAUACGUACCAG